CCGUGAAAAAAUUAGAGUGUUCAAAGCAGGCAGAUCCAAUUUUCUGCCACCGAAUACAUUAGCAUGGGAUAAUGGAAUAGGACCCUGUCCUCCUAUUUUCAGUUGGUUUUGGCAGCGCGAGGACUAGGGUAAUGAUUAAUAGGGAUAGUUGGGGGCAUUAAUAUUUAAUUGUCAGAGGUGAAAUUCUUGGAUUUAUGAAAGAUUAACUUCUGCGAAAGCAUCUGCCAAGGAUGUUUUCAUUAAUCAAGAACGAAAGUUAGGGGAUCGAAGACGAUCAGAUACCGUCGUAGUCUUAACCAUAAACGAUGCCGACCAGCGAUUAGGAGACGUUGAAUACAAAACACCACCAUCGGCGCGGUCGUCCCUGGCUCGUCGU
rnacentral:rRNA from 1 species